rnacentral:rRNA from 1 species
GGGUUGUGAGGUUAAGCGACCAAGCGUACACGGUGGAUGCCCUGGCAGUCAGAGGCGAUGAAGGACGUGCUAAUCUGCGAAAAGCGCCGGUAAGGUGAUAUGAACCGUUAUAACCGGCGAUGUCCGAAUGGGGAAACCCAGUGUGACUCGUCACACUAUCAUUAACUGAAUCCAUAGGUUAAUGAGGCGAACCGGGGGAACUGAAACAUCUAAGUACCCCGAGGAAAAGAAAUCAACCGAGAUUCCCCCAGUAGCGGCGAGCGAACGGGGAGGAGCCCAGAGCCUGAAUCAGUAUGUGUGUUAGUGGAAGCGUCUGGAAAGGCGCGCGAUACAGGGUGACAGCCCCGUACACAAAAGCGCAUGUGCUGUGAGCUCGAUGAGUAGGGCGGGACACGUGGUAUCCUGUCUGAAUAUGGGGGGACCAUCCUCCAAGGCUAAAUACUCCUGACUGACCGAUAGUGAACCAGUACCGUGAGGGAAAGGCGAAAAGAACCCCGGCGAGGGGAGUGAAAAAGAACCUGAAACCGUGUACGUACAAGCAGUGGGAGCCCCACCACUAAGCCAGUGGUGAACUCCACAUACGCAUCCUUUGCGGAAGAUACGAUUAACGGAGCGAAAGCGACGUUCAACCGCAAAAGAAGCAGAGGGGGCUUAGUGGUGGGGUGACUGCGUACCUUUUGUAUAAUGGGUCAGCGACUUAUAUUCUGUAGCAAGGUUAACCGUAUAGGGGAGCCGGAGGGAAACCGAGUCUUAACCGGGCGUUAAGUUGCAGGGUAUAGACCCGAAACCCGGUGAUCUAGCCAUGGGCAGGUUGAAGGUUGGGUAACACUAACUGGAGGACCGAACCGACUAAUGUUGAAAAAUUAGCGGAUGACCUGUGGCUGGGGGUGAAAGGCCAAUCAAACCGGGAGAUAGCUGGUUCUCCCCGAAAGCUAUUUAGGUAGCGCCUCGUGAACUCAUCUCCGGGGGUAGAGCACUGUUUCGGCCAGGGGGCCAUCCCGGCUUACCAACCCGAUGCAAACUGCGAAUACCGGAGAAUGUUAUCACGGGAGACACACGGCGGGUGCUAACGUCCGUCGUGAAGAGGGAAACAACCCAGACCGCCAGCUAAGGUCCCAAAGUCAUGGUUAAGUGGGAAACGAUGUGGGAAGGCCCAGACAGCCAGGAUGUUGGCUUAGAAGCAGCCAUCAUUUAAAGAAAGCGUAAUAGCUCACUGGUCGAGUCGGCCUGCGCGGAAGAUGUAACGGGGCUAAACCAUGCACCGAAGCUGCGGCAGCGAACGUAUCACUUAAAGCGAUUCAGCGGAUGACGAUUGACGGAGCGAAGCGACGUCAAAGCGUUUUACAACGUCGAGUCGGUUUAAGGAUACGUUCGUUGGGUAGGGGAGCGUUCUGUAAGCCUGCGAAGGUGGCCUGUGAGGGUUGCUGGAGGUAUCAGAAGUGCGAAUGCUGACAUAAGUAACGAUAAUGCGGGUGAAAAACCCGCACGCCGGAAGACCAAGGGUUCCUGUCCAACGUUAAUCGGGGCAGGGUGAGUCGACCCCUAAGGCGAGGCCGAAAGGCGUAGUCGAUGGGAAACAGGUUAAUAUUCCUGUACUUGGUGUUACUGCGAAGGGGGGACGGAGAAGGCUAUGUUGGCCGGGCGACGGUUGUCCCGGUUUAAGCGUGUAGGCUGGUUUUCCAGGCAAAUCCGGAAAAUCAAGGCUGAGGCGUGA